rnacentral:rRNA from 1 species
CGUUAGCGGCGGACGGGUGAGUAACACGUGGGUAACCUACCUAUAAGACUGGGAUAACUUCGGGAAACCGGAGCUAAUACCGGAUAAUAUUUCGAACCGCAUGGUUCGAUAGUGAAAGANGGUUUUGCUAUCACUUAUAGAUGGGCCUGCGCCGUAUUAGCUAGUUGGUAAGGUAACGGCUUACCAAGGCGACGAUACGUAGCCGACCUGAGAGGGUGAUCAGCCACACUGGAACUGAGACACGGUCCAGACUCCUACGGGAGGCAGCAGCC